UACAGAGGGUGCGAGCGUUGUCCGGAAUCACUGGGCGUAAAGGGCGCGUAGGUGGCCUGAUAAGUAGGGGGUGAAAUCUCGAGGCUCAACUUCGAGGCUGCCUCCUAAACUGUCAGGCUUGAGCAGAGUAGAGGCAGGUGGAAUUCCCGGUGUAGCGGUGGAAUGCGUAGAGAUCGGGAAGAACAUCGGUGGCGAAGGCGGCCCGCUGGGCAACUGCUGACACUGAGGCACGAAAGCGUGGGUAGCAAACAGG
rnacentral:rRNA from 1 species